AACGAACGCUGGCGGCAUGCCUAACACAUGCAAGUCGAACGAGACCUUCGGGUCUAGUGGCGCACGGGUUCGUAACGCGUGGGAACCUGCCCUUAGGUUCGGAAUAACUCCCCGAAAGGGGUGAUAAUACCGGAUAAUGUCUUCGGACCAAAGAUUUAUCGCCUUUGGAUGGGCCCGCGUUGGAUUAGCUAGUUGGUAGGGUAAAAGCCUACCACGGCGACGAUCCAUAGCUGGGCUGAGAGGAUGAUCAGCCACACUGGGACUGAGACACGGCCCAGACUCCUACGGGAGGCAGCAGUGGGGAAUAGUGGAAAAUGGGCGAAAGCCUGAUCCAGCAAUGCCGCGUGAGUGAUGAAGGCCGUAGGGUUGUAAAGCGCUUGUACCCGGGAUGAUAAUGACAGUACCGGGAGAAUAAGCUCCGGCUAACUCCGUG
rnacentral:rRNA from 1 species